GUGCGCUCACCAUCGCUCCAUCUGUCAGGGCGCACCCUUUUAUAGAAGAACAUGGCCUUGCAGAGAAUUAAAAAGAAAAUUUUAUAUUUGAGUGCUAUUUCUUUUGCGGCACCGAAACUUUAUAACAAUUUCAGGGCUCACCCUUGAUUACAUUUCCCCCAGGGGCGGUCUCCGGUUCUCUCUCCUGAGGAGGCGCACCCCGCCCCCUUGUGGUGGCCUCAGGGGUGAGAAAUCAGGACCACCCAGUGCGAGGAAUAACCGGAGCUCUCUGCAACGCUGAAAGAAACUGGCCAGCAACCUAGCUUAAAGGAUCCUCACAUCUGCGGCGAUGACUCUGUGCACAGACCAAGGAAGGAGAAGCCGCCGGAGCCAGUAAAGUACUCCCUUGGUGGUCAAAUUCCGGAGGGCUAAAUGUGUGUGUGCAUGAAUGAUCACAAAUAACCCUACCUGCGGUGUUGUUCAUGUGGAUGGUGACAAGACCUACUGCUGGACAGAGUGAGUGGGACCUCUCCGCAGUUCCGUAGCUACCUCAUAUGGCUUAGGGCGGAUCCUGCCGUGGGAUUUAUACUGGCACACCGACACUAAGAGGGGCCUAAUUCUCCCUUGGGGGAGCAGCCAGAGAGGGCAACACAAGUGGGAAGUGUGCAAGGGACCUUGAGAGGGGGAAAGGGAGGAAACAGGUCAACCUCCCAGAGCAGCAAGGUGCUGCCUUUGGACUUUCCAGUGCCUCAGCAUCAGCCUGGGGAUCACGUUCUCAUCAAAGAGGGGAAAGAAGGGAAACUCGAGCCAGCCCGGGAAGGACCCUACCUUGUGCUGCUAACCACUGAGACUGCUGUUCGUAAGGUUGGAAAGAGAUGGACACAUCACACAUGAGUCAAGCAAGCACCAUUAUCCUCAGAAUCAUGGGCCAUUGUUCCUGGAUCAAGCCCUACCAAAUUAAAGCUAAGGAAAGCUUAGUCUAUCUAUCUUUUCCUUUCCCUUCCUUACCCAGUGCUUAUAUCCAUUACUAUUCCUACCACUAGCAACUCUAACCCCACUUUAGAACGCUUCUGUGGUUUAGGAGCAGAGGUCACUGGAAAGGAUCCUAUGGGCUUCUUUAAGGUGGGCUUUGUUCUCCCUCCUCCACCUCCUAUGGCUGCCCCUUUCCCAAACCUACAAAAUCAAACUAUGACUCACCUCAUGCCAAAUGACAAAAGCAAGGUCCCGGUAGUAGAAAUAGGAGACCUAAGGCAAACCAUAGCCAUUAAAACAGGGUAUAAAAAUGUAAAUGCCUGGUUAAAAUUGAUUAAAUAUUCUGUCCACACGUUAAACAAAGGCAAUUUUUAUGCUUGUGCACAUGACAGGCCAGAAGCCCAGAUUGUCCCCUUUCCACUAGGGUGGCCCUCUAGUUGACUGGGCAUGGCCUGCAUGGCAGAUCUUUCCCAGGAUUAUUCAGCCUGGGGUAACAAGUCGUGCCAAGCUCUCUCUCUGCUACAUCCCGAAGUUCAACACCCUGCGGGUCAGCCCCCAAGGGCCAUCCAGCUUCCAUCUCCCAACACUAAGUUCACUUCGUGUCUCUCAGGACCGGGAGGAAACUUAGCGUUCCUUGGAGUCCUGAAGGGAUGCAGUGAGAUUAAGAAAUUUCAAGAGCUUACCAAUUAGCCCUUACUCAUCCCUGAGCAGAUGUGUAGUGGUAUUAUGAUGGACCUUUACUGGACACUCUGCCGAGUAACUGAAGUGGCACUUGCUUUAGUCCAGUUGGCUAUCCCUUUCACGCUGGCAUUUCAUCAACCAGAGAAAGGAAAAAUAAGAUAUCAUAAAGCAAAAGAAGCCCCUUAUGGGUCUUUUGACUCUCACAUCUAUUUAGACAUAAUUACAGUCCCACAGGGAAUACCAGAUCAAUUUAAAGCCUGAAAUCAAAUAGCUGCAGGAUUUGAGUCAAUAUUUUGGUGGGUGACAAUAAAAUGUAAAUUGGAUAAACUACAUCUAUUACAACCAACAGCCAUCCAUUAACUACACUAGAGAUGCUGUUAAAGGAAUAGCUGAGCAAUUAGGGGCUACUAGCCAGAUGGCUUGGGAAAAAUAGGAUAGCCUUAGACAUGAUAUUAGCAGAAAAAGGAAGAAUUUGCAUCAUAAUUAAAAAUCAAUGUUGUAACUUCAUCCCAAACAACACCGCCCCUAAUGGAAGUAUAACAAAGGCAUUGCAAGGUCUGACUGCUCUAUCCUGAGUUAGCCAAUAACUCGGGGGUAAAUGACCCCUUUACAGGAUGGCUGGAAAAGUGGUUCAGUAAAUGGAAAAGAAUAGUAGCCCCAAUUCUUACUUCCAUCGCAGCCAUCAUAGGUGUGCUUAUUCUUGUCGGGUGUUGUGUCACACUAAGGAAGGAGACCGCUACAACUCCUGCUGCCCUCCUCCCACCACCUUGCCUAGUUCACAAGACAGGAGGAAAGAGAGAAAGCAAAAAGCUGGAAAGAAGCAAAAGUAAGAUAAAUAGCCAGACAACCUUGGCACCACCACCUGGCCCUAGGAGUUAAAAAGGUAAUAAUAAUAACAUCAACCCCAGACCUAAACUACUUGUGUUAUCUGUAAAUUCCAGACAUUGUAUGAAAAAGCAUUGCAAAACUUUCUGUUCUGUUAGCUGAUGCAUGUAGCCUCCAGUCACGUUCCCCACGCUUGCUGGAUUUAUCACGACCUUUUCAUGUGGACCCCUUUAGAGUUGUAAGCCUUUAAAAAGGCCAAGAAUUCAGUUUGCAGGGAGCUCAGCUCUUAAGAUGCAAGUCUGCCGAUGCUCUCAGCCAAGUAAACCUCUUCCUUCUUUAAUCCAGUGUCUGAGGAGUUUUGUCUGCGUUGGUGCAGAGGUUUAUAAAAACGGCACUUACUAAAACCUCCCUUAACUAUCCUCCACCUUAUCCAGAGAAGCUUCUUCUUUUGGAAAAUCAAGCAGAACAACUAAGCCAAGACAUGUUAAAGAAGUUUGAAGGGAAAGAGCUGUAAGGAAAUGCAAGAGGAGAGAUUGUUAGAUAUGAGUUCUAAAUUUCUCUUCAAAGAAUCAAUAUGUCAGUAUGUUCCAUUCUUUGCCUUUUACUUGUAAACUUCCUCGUAACGCAAACAUUUUCGAUUACCUGCUCCAUCCUGACUCAUUCCGAUUACCUGCUCUGCCCUGAAUUCUGAUUUCCUGCUCUGCCAUAACAAUUUUUCCCGCCAAAUCACUCACCCUGUCACUCUCUUUAAAUUAACCAAUUGGCAUUAGUUUAGCCUGUGCGGUCUAACCCUAACCAAUAGGGGAACAACACAGCAGCAGAGGCCACGUGCAUCAGGGAUAAGAACCCCUUCUCCCUUGUCCAAGUGUGCGCUCGCCAUUGCUCCAUCUAUAAGGGCGCACCCUUCUAUAGAAGUACAUUGCCUUGCUGAGAAUUAAAAAGAAAAUUUUAUAUUCGAGUGCUAUGUCUUUUGCGGCACCGAAACUUUAUUUAUAACAAAAUCUACAAGGGCUUAACGAUAAAGUCAAAAUUACUGACAAGCUCAGGGAAAAUGCAGACUUCAGCCCCAGGUGGCUACAAUCCCUCUUUAAUGAAUUCCAGUCUUCUUUAUGGAAUUGGUUAACCCCUUUAAUAAGCACCCUCUUGCUGUUAUGUCUUGUAUUAAUAAUUGGACCCUGUAUACUCAAUACUAUAACUUGAAUUGUUUCCUCUCACCUAGAAGCGAUCAAACUCCAAAUGGUCCCGCAAACUGAGCCACUCAUGGACAGGCCUUUCUUCUGAGGACCUUUAGGUUGACCCCACAAGGAGCCCUCGCUGCUGUUCCCCAUUCAACGCCCCUUUUCAGCAGGAAGCAGCCAGAAAGAGUCAUCAGCCAAAACCUCCUAACAGCAGUUAGGGUGACAUCUCCACAGGGGGGAAUGUUAUAGGAGUUAUUAAGAAAUUAUUUUAGGCAGAUAGAGAGGAAAAGGGGUCCUUGGGAAGUUUUUGUUUCUUUCUUUUAAAGCAGCUGCAUAAAUGUUUCUUGUCUAGCAGGAAAGCACAGGCUCUUAGAGCCAGGCCGGCAACCUUUGAUAUGCAAUUGCAGGCCAUUAGAAACUGGGUCCACCCAAACAUGGCGAUUCCUGCCCUCUUCUUCUUAGUGCCUCAAUCACUCAUUUUGGUCGUUACCAGAAAGGAACUCAUAUUUAGCUGGAAUCUAUGCCAGGUAAUGUUACAGAGGGUAGUAGUCAGACAUGAACAGGGCAGGAGAAGGCCCCCACACCCCACCAGGAAUGUCAGGUGAUGGUCCAGCAGUUGUCCCACUGCCUCUCUAAAAUAAUAACUGGUCUGAGCCAGCACCAGGGAAAGACAGUUUCCCAACAGAUUAAAAAAACACCUGAAACUGGUGAUUGGCAGCUUCCCGAUAAGAUCUCAGGAAUUGGGUGAGUGGGCUCAAUCAUGUGCAUUAAGAGGCAAAAUAGCAGAGUUUAACUGGCAUAUGACCUUCCAGGUACAUUCCACCAGAAAAGGGAAGAACACCUACCUCAGACCCUGUGUAGGCCCUUCCCACACUGGAUCAGACUUGCUCUGUGUGACCAGCAGACAUGGGGAAGGAAUGGUAGAAGAAACUAGGUCAUAAAAGACAGUUUGGCUUUCAUCUUCCCCCUCUCUUGGUUCACUCACUCUGGAGGAAGCCAGCUGCAGUGUCUUGAGGCCACCCAAGGAGAGGCCCUCUUGGCUAAGAGCUGAGGCCUCCAGCCACCAGCUUUCUGUCCCCAGAUGACCGCAGCCCCAGCUGACAGCAAGAUGGCUCACGAGAGGCCCCGAGGCGGAACUACCCAGCCAAGCUACUCUCAUUCCUGAUCUACAGAAACUGAGAAAAUAAAUGUUUUAAGCCAACAAAGUUUGAAGUAACUUGUUAUGUAGCAAUAAGUUACUAACAUACAGACUUAACUUUAAAAGUUAUAUUUAGUUGGGCACAGUGGCUCAUGCCUGUAAUCCCAGCACUUUGGGAGGCUGAUGUGGGCAGAUCACCUGAGGUCAGGGGUUCGAGACCAACCUGGCCAACAUGGGAAACCCCAUCUCUACUAAAAAUACAAAAAUUAGCCAGGCGUGGUGGCAGGUGCCUGUAGUCCCAGCUACUUGGGAAGCUGAGGCGGAAGAAUUGCUUGAAUCCAGGAGGGGGAGGUUGCAGUGAGUGGAGAUGACACCACUUCACUCCAGC
rnacentral:lncRNA from 10 species